AGACCAUAAGGCUUUGCCUUGCGUUGAGCUUAUUUGGACGUCAAGUUCAAAAGCUCCAAACUGAUUGGCGUCUGAGUUUGGGCCACAACACAGCGAAAUGUGUCUGUGCGCAAUCUCUUAUUGCUAGAUAAUCACAUCAAAC
rnacentral:misc_RNA from 1 species